GGCUCGGCCCCGCCGCCCCCUUUCUUACCCCUCACAGCCCGCGGCCCGCCGGGGCUGAGAGCGCCGAGAGGCAGCGCUGGGACUGGAGGAGCCCGAGCGCUUUGCAAGCGUUGAUUCAUUCUGUGAUGUGAAAGAGAAAGAAGUGACACAACCGACCAGUGGCGAAGCCUGAGUCAUCGCAAUGAAUGGUGCCCAUCCUCAUCACCCAUCACCACACCGUGACGGCCGCAGCAAACACAACCAGCAGCCAUGUAGAAGUAGUGAUUUUCACUGAUGACACAUGCAUGAUCUCUCGAUGAGAGGUUUUAAUGUGAUGGGGGAGGAGCACACAGGCCACACGUGAUCUUGUUUGGAAAAAGCAGAGUUUUCCGCUUGAAGAUUUCUGGUCACUAAUGGAGUACAGUGGGACUCGAGUAAGCAAAAAUAGCAUUGUGGUUAAGAUACUGGCCUAAACUUGGAAGAUAUCUUCUGGUUCCUGGCUCUGCUGCAGACAUCCUGUGUGUCCUUGGAUAAACGCCUCUUGUGAGGCUAAUUUCAUUUAUGUGCUCACGUACGUAGUAAUGAGCCUCAUAAACAGCCUAUAAAUAUAAUCACUUGAAAUUAUUUUUAAGGUACAAUCUCUUGUAUUCUGCGAGGGAUUUCAUGUUCUCUUGGGAGAUGGAAGAGUGUAUGCCAGGCUAAAGGCAUGAGAUGGAUUUGGAUCUAUCUCAAUUUCAGUGGCAUGUGUGCACAUUUAAAUUUGGCAUGUGCAGACCAUUAUGAUAAAAAAAGAGCCUGCAUUAUUUGCACUAUUUCUUAUUUUCUUUCUCAGUCUGGGAUUCUUCAGACUGUAGGAAGCAAGGAGAAACACAUAUAGAUGAUGAUAUCUUUGAAAUAUGCACUGGCUCUGUGUCUUUUUUGUUCAAAAUUCAGGCUUGGGAACACUAUAAAAAUCUGUGUGCAUGCACAACAGUUGCAAUUAUUCAUACAGACCCUACUGUAAACCACAGGCUCAUAUGUACACCUGGACAUCUCGACACACAAAAUGUAUGCAGCUAUGCAGUUCACAAGUCAACUUCUACAGGAAGGGUGGUCUUAGAGCAAAUGCGGGUCUGCCAAGUUUGCUAAUUAGGGUUGUGCCUCACCACUUGUGGUGCAAGCGAGUGCUGUGCUGCUUUGCUGGUGCUCUGGCAGCCUCUGCUACAGACAUCCAGCAAUCCCGGGUAAACAACCACUGCUCGCAGCAGGUCUGCAUCAUGCAGCCAGCAAGUGCAACAUGCCAUGGACCCUGGGUCCAGCUAGCAAACACAAACUGUGGCACAGUUAGACCACCGUAAUACUCCCAGUUUUGUUUCUCAAUCCCUCUUCAGCCUCUUCCUUUUCAAAAAGAAUGAUCUCCUCCAACAUAUAUCUUCAGACAAUUGUUGACCUUCCAUUGCUUAGACAAAGCAAAAACAUUUUGUAAGUAAGUCUAUACGUAUUGUCUGCAUCUACCACCUAUGUCUAACACAGAUUUUGUAAAAACACAUCUAUCAGUUUUCCAAGGUAGACAUGCCUUAUUUCAUUACAGAAAGAUCUUGUGUGUGUGUGUGUAUUUUAACUUAAUACACCCAGUUAAAAAGCCAUGCACAUGUAGCUAUUUCUGUAUGGAUUGUUUACAAGCAAAACAGUGUCUGUGUUUGAAAACCCACCCAUCAAGAAUAUGUUUACCAUAAAGCAAAGAGUUCCAUAGUAUGAAAGUGCAGCCGAAGGUACUCUUGAUGAUUAGUGAGGAACCAGCAUUCAUUAUUCAUUUGUAAAGUAAUGAUUGUUUCCCUUAAAUCUCCAUAGCAUUCCCUGCAUCACGUUACUGCUUUCAAAUAACUAGAAAUGCCAAUACCUUAAUGAAUCAGAGUACUACUACAUCAUCAAAGGUUGUUAGAAGACACAAAAAUUAUCAAUUUCUAACAUAAAAGGCAGCAGGCAAGAAGACAAAAUUAAGCACAUAAGCAAAAAGUACCUGCUAUCUCCAAAUUAAAAGCAUCUGUUUAGAUGCUAGAAAACCUGUGACUGCAGUUUCUACAAGAACCAAUAUUUCAAAUGUGAUCACUUACACUACUAGUUUUUUCCUGGAUGGCAGCCCUAGUAGUUACUCAAGUGUAUUCCAGUUCACGUAAGGGCGAAGGUAUGCUUCUGGAAUUACCCCUGCUGUCCAGUCUCUCAGAGAAUUAAAGACCUUGGCAAUUAGGAACACAGCCUUACCAAGCAGCACCCUUGUGUAAGGGAAAGGAGAGAAGACAUGAAAUGAAGAGGCAGUGCCCUCUUCCCUUGCCUCUCAGGAACGGUCUGAGCUAUUAGGUUAAUGCCUCGGCACUGGGAUGCGUCAGUAACAAUAAGGCUUGUAGCAAAGCAAGAAUCUUGACACUCCCAAAAACUUGUUAAUUUUGGCAAGCAAGUUAUGUCUGGGGAGCUGAAGUGAAGAAAAUAAGGAUGUAAUAAUGUUGCAAUGCAAUAUUAUAACAUUAUGAAUAACAUUCAUAAUGCCGUCGGAUACAUUCCAAAAGAAGACUUCUGAUAUAGAAAAAAAAAAAAAAAAGGCUCAUAUUUUAUUAAAGCUGAGGAUACAGUGACAGCUCAACAGUAAACUAUAUGUAACAAUUACUCAAUAACAGGUUUUACAGCAAGCUUGGGUAGUUUCUUGCUUGUAUCCUUUUGGCAUUCACUUUUUUUUUUUUUUUUUUUUUAAGUGUAAUGACAAGGGCAUUGCUCAUGUUCACUGAAAUACCUCCAACUACAUUCAAGCUGUGAUCAGUAUCACAUUUACCACUGUCUCACAGUGCCCCUAUAUUAGUAUUUUCUAUUUCUUAGGGAAAUACAUUUCACAUACACACACAGAGUAAAUCCAAAACGAGCCUUAAAUAAUCUUGUUCAGGGCAACAGAGAAUAAUGACUGUGUCUUCAAUGAGGGGCAUAAUUACAACAAGCUGUCAAAGGAAACUUUAAGAAGGUUUGGGGGCAGGGGGAAUUAAAAGCUAUUUACCUCUAUCAAAGCAGAGUGAAUAAGGGUAAUGAGUAAUAACCCUGAGAAAAUGACAACAAAGGGGAACAUUCUCAGCACCAUGAGUGGGAAAUUAAUCAAGUCCCUCUUUUGUUAACAGGUGUUGCACAAUAAAUUCCCUCUGUUCCGCCCUGAAAAAGCAUCCUUAAUAUUAGAAAGGAAAAGUUCAGAGAAGUAAACAAGAAAAAUGCUACCUUGUACUUACAACGCAUCAUUUGCAAAUGUCUCAAAGCACCUUUCAGUUCAGCACAGUAAAAUAAAUACUGAAGUUCAGUAUCUUACAGCAUUUUAAUUUAAAAUAAUGGAGGGAACACGGUGCCCUAAAUUAACAAGUAGGCAAUGGAUCCAUGCCUACAAGAUCAAUUUGGACAAUACCAAAUGAUUUUCAGGAAGCCUCCUGUUACAGCUAACAAAGUACUGGUGUGCCUUCUGGAGAUGCAGAAACUUGUACAUCUUGAUUACAUCUGCACCACCUCAGUCCUCUAAGUCAGGGAAUGCUUAGUUCAAGUCAGAGGAGCACAAUGCAGUUGUGUAAACAGAAGAUUGAAAAUCAGGAAAUCCUUAGUUCUAAAAUGGGAUCCAACUGUGCCCUUUUUCCUGUCCACAAAAAAGUUAAUGAAGCAACCUAAGCUGCCCGCCCUCUCCUCCCUCUCAAAAAGACGUGGUAGUACAGAACUACCAAUCUCGGUGACCUGCUGGAUGGUUUAAAUAAACUAACGUGGAUAGAUUAAAUAAGUUCUCAUCUUUAAAAUAUUUUGAGGAAAAAAAUGUUCUAUAAGCAUUAAAUAUUACUGAAACAGAGAGCAGAAGAUCUUUUCAAGGGGGAAUUACUACAUUUCCUUUCUUUACUUAUCAAUUACUCAUUAAUGCAGCAAAACAAAGAAAGAUAUGAUUUGACAGUUCUCGAAGAAUGGUUUUCACUGUUGCAUAUGCUCUUGAUUUGACACUACAAAUAAAAAUGUUAUUCUGUGUAUCCCUGAUCAUGCUCCCAAACCAUUACUGAGGCCUAGAAUAUUAAGAUUUUCUGUGCAAGCUAUCUUCUCUAAUAUCCAGUCCAGCUUAGUCAUAUAUUUAAUAGGCAUGCACAAAGCGUGUUACUGUUACUCCUUGUAAAAUUAAGAAAAAGAGGGGGAAGGAAGGAAGGAAGGGAGGAAGGGAGGGAGGGAAAGAAAGAAAGAAAGAAAGAAA